UACAGAGGGGCAAGCGUUAUUCGGAAUUAUUGGGCGUAAAGGGCGCGUAGGCGGCCUGGCAAGUGACGGGUGAAAGCCCUCGGCUUAACCGAGGAACUGCCUGUCAGACUGUUAGGCUUGAGACCGGGAGAGGUGAGUGGAAUUCCCAGUGUAGCGGUGAAAUGCGUAGAUAUUGGGAGGAACACCAGUGGCGAAGGCGGCUCACUGGACCGGUACUGACGCUGAGGCGCGAAAGCGUGGGGAGCAAACAGG
rnacentral:rRNA from 1 species